UGUGAAUGAUGACCCUGCCUGUGUGAAAGCAUGAACACCUGACCAUCAGACCUUGGGCACAGGCUCACAGGACGCAUGCAGAGCUAUCUCCAGCAUUGCAGCUGUGUGGCUUAAUGUCUGUGUCGAAAUACAGUGAGACUGAUGGCAGAUGGGAGCUUUGGGUUUGAGAAUUCCUUCAACUCCAUUAAGAUCUGCACCUGAAACUCUCCUCCUCCUUUGAGUUUCUCUAACUUUCUGCAAAGGCUUUGUGAACACAUACAGAGAACACACCCACCCACCACAAGUUCAGCUGGGCCUAACUGGGAUCCUUGAGGAAGACCCAUGGGAGGAGGAAAUACCUUCGUUCUUCAUUUAAGAAUCAUGAACUCCCUGAUUUCAGCACUCCCGAUGGAUGUUAAAGCAACACCAUGUCCUGGGAAGAAGAACGUUCCUUGAGUUUGUCAGCAAAGCUGAGAUGAGUAUGGGAGAGAGACAGCUGGGUCAGAACAGGCACCCUGUGUUGGAGUCAGUGUGGCUGUUUCCCUCUCUUGCUUGACCAGGGGUGGCUUCAGACAGCUGUGUUCCUUCCGUGCAGAAAGAGGGAGGUUCAUCCAGGCUUGCUGGAAGCAGAGGAGCUGAAGCAAAGAGAGAAAAUUAUCUUCCUGGGUCUUCUUCACCCAGUAAAAGAUGGAGUUACCAGAGUUACUGCAGGGUCAGAGUUAAAUGAAGGACCAGCACUCAGGCAUUCUCAAGCCUCUUCAUUAUGCCAAAGCCAUCAAGUCAUUCUAGAAGCUCAUAACAGCAACGCCAGUGGAAAUGACUGCCCAUCCUUGAAGCUUUUUGCUUUAACAAUGACAAAAAGGCCCAAGAAAUGCU